AGUGAACGCUGGCGGUAGGCCUAACACAUGCAAGUCGAACGGCAGCACAGUAAGAGCUUGCUCUUACGGGUGGCGAGUGGCGGACGGGUGAGGAAUACAUCGGAAUCUACUUUUUCGUGGGGGAUAACGUAGGGGAACUUACGCUAAUACCGCAUACGACCUACGGGUGAAAGCAGGGGAUCUUCGGACCUUGCGCGAUUGAAUGAGCCGAUGUCGGAUUAGCUAGUUGGCGGGGUAAAGGCCCACCAAGGCGACGAUCCGUAGCUGGUCUGAGAGGAUGAUCAGCCACACUGGAACUGAGACACGGUCCAGACUCCUACGGGAGGCAGCAGUGGGGAAUAUUGGACAAUGGGCGCAAGCCUGAUCCAGCCAUACCGCGUAGGUGAAGAAGGCCUUCGGGUUGUAAAGCCCUUUUGUUGGGAAAGAAAAGCAGCAGGUUAAUACCCCGCUGUUCUGACGGUACCCAAAGAAUAAGCACCGGCUAACUUCGUG
rnacentral:rRNA from 1 species